AAAUUUUUCGGAGGGUUUGAUCCUGGCUCAGGACUAACGCUAGCGGCGUGUCUUAGCCAUGCAAGUCGUACGGGCUUAUAGCAAUAUAAGUCAG
rnacentral:rRNA from 1 species